CAUCGCCUCUUGACCAAGUAUAAGAGGUUCAGCCUGCCCAGUGACAAAAUUCAACGGCCGCGGUACCCUAACCGUGCGAAGGUAGCAUAAUCACUUGUUCUCUAAAUAGGGACUAGUAUCAACGGCACCACGAGGGCUGUACUGUCUCCUUUCUCCCAUCAGUGAAACUGAUCUCCCCGUGAAGAAGCGGGGAUUAUUAUAUAAGACGAGAAGACCCCAUGGAGCUUUAAACUCAUCACCCACUUCCUCACUUCUAUGCCCAAUCAUAUAAGGAACCUGCGUGAUAGUUUUGGGUUGGGGGGACCACGGAGUACAAUUCAACCUCCGCGACAAAUGGGCUACGCCCUUAUCUACGAACUACAACUCUAAGAAUCAUAAGCUGAUGUUUAAUGACCCGAUAAUUCGAUCAACGAACCAAGUUACCCUGGGGAUAACAGCGCAAUCUACUUCAAGAGCCCCUAUCGACAAGUAGGUUUACGACCUCGAUGUUGGAUCAGGGUAUCCUGGGGGUGCAGCCGCUCCCGAUGG
rnacentral:rRNA from 1 species